rnacentral:rRNA from 1 species
AUUCCUACGGGAGGCAGCAGUGAGGAAUAUUGGACAAUGGAUGGAAAUCUGAUCCAGCCAUGCCGCGUGCAGGAAGACGGCCCUAUGGGUUGUAAACUGCUUUUGUAUGGGAGCAAUAAGGUCUAUGCGUAGACUGAUGAGAGUACCAUACGAAUAAGCAUCGGCUAACUCCGUGCCAGCAGCCGCGGUAAUACGGGGGAUGCAAGCGUUAUCCGGAUUUAUUGGGUUUAAAGGGUGCGUAGGCGGUUUGAUAAGUCAGCGGUGAAAUAUUUCAGCUUAACUGAAAGGGUGCCGUUGAUACUGUCAGGCUUGAAUAUGGUCGCUGUGGGUGGAAUGUGUGGUGUAGCGGUGAAAUGCUUAGAUAUCACACAGAAUAUCGAUUGCGAAGGCAGCUCACAAAGCCAUUGUUGACGCUGAUGCACGAAAGUGUGGGGAUCAAACAGGAUUAGAUACCCUGGUAGUCCACACUGUAAACGAUGAUAACUCGCUGUCGGCGAUACACAGUCGGUAGCCAAGCGAAAGCGAUAAGUUAUCCACCUGGGGAGUACGACCGCAAGGUUGAAACUCAAAGGAAUUGACGGGGGCCCGCACAAGCGGAGGAACAUGUGGUUUAAUUCGAUGAUACGCGAGGAACCUUACCCGGGCUCGAACGGUGCAGGAAUACGUCAGAGAUGAUGUAGCUAGCAAUAGUCUGUAUCGAGGUGCUGCAUGGUUGUCGUCAGCUCGUGCCGUGAGGUGUCGGCUUAAGUGCCAUAACGAGCGCAACCCUUGUCGUUAGUUGCCAUCAGGUAAUGCUGGGAACUCUAGCGAGACUGCCACCGUAAGGUGUGAGGAAGGGGGGGAUGACGUCAAAUCAGCACGGCCCUUACGUCCGGGGCGACACACGUGUUACAAUGGUAGGUACAGAGGGCAGCUACCCAGCAAUGGGGUGCGAAUCUCAAAAGCCUAUCUCAGUUCGGAUCGGAGUCUGCAACUCGACUCCGUGAAGUUGGAUUCGCUAGUAAUCGCGCAUCAGCCAUGGCGCGGUGAAUACGUUCCCGGGCCUUGUACACACCGCC